GGGGGCAUAGCUCAGUUGGGAGAGCACCUGCUUUGCAAGCAGGAUGUCGUCGGUUCGAUCCCGUCUGCCUCCACCA
rnacentral:tRNA from 2 species